UUCCUCUUUUGUGCUGCAAGCCUUUACACAGUGGAGUGAUUACACUAUGCAACACAAUUUUUGUCACUGGGUUAUAAAUGUCAUUUCCUAAAUUGCACUAUCAUAAAUAGAUGGAAAAAGUUUAUUAAACUGCAAAACCUUUGUUUUUCUGGGACAUCCUGCAGCUCAUUUUGCUACAGUUUUUCAAUGAAUGUCUCAUCAAGUCUCAGCCAGUUCAACAUAGUUCGUGGCAGUGACAAAAACGAAGUUUCUGGAGUAGAACAAAUACUUUCAAAUAAGCAAAGACCUUUUCAAGGGGAGGAGCAAAUAUGAAUCCAUCUUUAAAAGAGCAGCCUGCUGUGUCAGGAAUAGCAGAGGACUUCGAAUCUGGUGCAGAUAUUUGAUAAGAUUAAUCUUGCAGAGAUGCAUACCAAGGUGCUUGUCUGCCUGCUUCUGAUGGCUCUCAUUGGCACCAGUCUCUCAAGAUCUGUCUCCAAUGAUGAGAGCGAUGACUUAAACAGGAAAGGGAGGGAUCUUCCAAGACGAGACGACAAGAUUAGAAGCCUUCCUGGUCCUCAGAUCCCUUCCUUUAGUGGCGACUGACCUUAUGACUUCCCUGGGGAAUGAGGUCAGCCCCUCCCUCCUGACCUUCCGUAAAAAAAUGAAGAUGUGGCUUUUUGACCAAGGCUUUGGAAAUCUGGUGGCGUAAUAGAUAUGAAAGAUGUGCAACUGACCACUGGAACGGCCCAGACUAUGCUUAUGAAUCCAUAAGGAUGGAUUUAAAUACUUUAAUUGUUUUAAUGGUACAGUUAUUUUAAUAGUCCUGUUUUUAAAGGCAUUGUCUAUAUUGUAAAGCCGCCUUGAGUCCCCUCCAGAUUGAGAAAGGCGGGAUAAAAGAGUCGCAAAUAAAUAAAUAAAUAAAUAAAUAAUCAAUUCUGGUGGAAGCAUAGAUUUUUGACACUUCUAAAACUCUGAAGUGGAGAUGUCUGAGAGAUCUUCUACCUAAGAACGACAGCAGAGAGAGGUAGAAGAAGUGGCACGGAGUCCCAGG
rnacentral:lncRNA from 11 species